CCUACGGGCUGCACCAGUGGGGAAUAUUGCACAAUGGGCGCAAGCCUGAUGCAGCCAUGCUGCGUGUAUGAAGAAGGCCUUCGGGUUGUAAAGUACUUUCAGCGGGGAGGAAGGUGUUGUGGUUAAUAACCACAGCAAUUGACUUACCCGCAGAAGAAGCACCGGCUAACUCCGUGCCAGCAGCCGCGGUAAUACGGAGGGUGCAAGCGUUAAUCGGAAUUACUGGGCGUAAAGCGCACGCAGGCGGUCUGUCAAGUCGGAUGUGAAAUCCCCGGGCUCAACCUGGGGACUGCAUUCGAAACUGGCAGGCUAGAGUCUUGUAGAGGGGGGUAGAAUUCCAGGUGUAGCGGUGAAAUGCGUAGAGAUCUGGAGGAAUACCGGUGGCGAAGGCGGCCCCCUGGACAAAGACUGACGCUCAGGUGCGAAAGCGUGGGGAGCAAACAGGAUUAGAUACCCCCGUAGUC
rnacentral:rRNA from 1 species